AGUGGGGAAUAUUGGACAAUGGGCGAAAGCCUGAUCCAGCCAUGCCGCGUGAGUGACGAAGGCCUUAGGGUUGUAAAGCUCUUUUGGCGGGGAAGAUAAUGACGGUACCCGCAGAAUAAGCUCCGGCUAACUUCGUGCCAGCAGCCGCGGUAAUACGAAGGGAGCUAGCGUUGUUCGGAAUCACUGGGCGUAAAGCGCACGUAGGCGGAUUUGCCAGUCAGGGGUGAAAUCCCGGGGCUCAACCUCGGAACUGCCUUUGAUACAGCAAGUCUUGAGUUCGAGAGAGGUGGGUGGAAUUCCUAGUGUAGAGGUGAAAUUCGUAGAUAUUAGGAAGAACACCGGUGGCGAAGGCGGCCCACUGGCUCGACACUGACGCUGAGGUGCGAAAGCGUGGGGAGCAAA
rnacentral:rRNA from 1 species